AUGGCGGCAUGUACGCCAGCGACGGCCGCCGUGUCCUUCUCUCUUCCGUCGUACCCGCGCCGCCUCCGGCGCCGCCCGUCCCUCCUCCGCGCUGCGUCCACUGCGGCGCCCCCGUCCCCCGACCUCUCCAUCCAGCUCUCUCCCCGCCCUUCCCCGCGCACCUCGCCUCCCGUAGUACCAUCCCUCGCCCGCGACCGCGCAGAGGACCUGCAGGCCGAGUCCCGCGCCAUGACCCGAGCCGCUGCCGCCACCGUCUACACCCCCGAGCUACUCGCCUCCCGCUACGGCUCCCAACCUUUCCAGGUGGCGAUGAGAGCGGCGGAGGUGCUCUCGAAGCUGGGGGCAUUCGGGCUAAAGCUGCUGCUCGACCAGCAGAGGGGGGAGUCGUCCUCGUCAGCGAAGAGGCGUGCCAGGGCGGUCGAGCUGCGAACUGUACUGACAAGGCUUGGCCCGACGUUCGUCAAGAUUGGGCAGGGUUUGUCCACGCGGCCUGACCUCUGCCCGACUGAGUAUCUCGAGGAGCUCUCCGAGCUGCAGGAUUCUCUCCCCACAUUUCCAGAUGAAGAGGCAUUUGCCUGUAUCGAGAGGGAGCUUGGCUUUCCUCUUGAUUCAAUGUACUCAGCAAUGUCACCUUCACCGAUAGCUGCAGCAAGUUUAGGUCAAGUUUACAAGGCACGGUUGAAAUACUCUGAGCAGUUGGUAGCUGUCAAGGUGCAAAGACCUGGCAUCGAGGAUGCCAUAGGCCGUGAUUUUUACCUACUGAGGGGACUUGGUUUUCUAAUAAAUAAGUAUGUUGACAUUAUAACUACUGAUGCAGUUGCUCUGAUAGAUGAAUUUGCCCGAAGAGUUUUCCAAGAGCUUAAUUAUGUCCAGGAAGGCCAAAACGCACGAAGGUUUAAAAAAUUAUAUGCUGACAAGCAAGACAUAUUGGUCCCUGAUAUAUUUUGGGAUUACACAAGUGCAAAGGUACUGACAAUGGAAUGGAUUGAGGGUGUAAAGCUUAAUCAACAAGCUGCCAUUGAAGGCCAAGGCUUGAAGGUCCUGGACUUGGUAAACAUUGGUAUACAGUGUAGCCUAAGGCAGCUACUAGAGUAUGGUUACUUUCAUGCUGACCCGCAUCCUGGUAAUAUUUUGGCAACACCUGAAGGGAAGCUUGCUUUUCUUGAUUUUGGCAUGAUGAGUGAAACCCCAGAGGAUGCAAGGGUAGCCAUCAUAGGGCAUGUCGUUCACAUGGUCAAUCGGGAUUAUGAAGCGAUGGCUCGUGAUUAUUAUGCACUUGAUUUUCUGAAACCUGAAGUGGAUGUAUCCCCAAUCGUACCUGCCCUCAAGAUUUUUUUUGAUGAUGCUUUGGAUUCAACAGUGAGUGAGCUAAACUUUAAAACCAUAGUUGAUGGCUUAGGCGCUGUUCUUUAUCAGUACCCAUUCAAUGUACCGGCCUACUAUGCGUUGAUACUGCGAUCACUCACUGUGCUGGAAGAUCCCAAUCCAUAUCUCAGAGAUGCUCUGAUUGAGCUGCUAUUCAAGGAUGAAAAAUUCAGGUGGAAUAGGCUUGAAAAUCUUCUUGUUCAAGGACGCCAGGAUAGAGAGUUUGUAGCGAAGGAUGCUCUACAACCGGUUUUGAAACUUCUACUUGGUCCAGAUGGGGAGAAUUUAAGAGUGCUAGUUGUGAAAGAAGCGGUUCGUGUCACAGAAGCCAUCACCUUCGGAACACUGAUUGAUUCAUACAACGCAGCUCCAGAAUUUUUGAAGCCAUUAAUAUCCAAUGGCAAUCCAGCUGGACCAUUUAAGAUAAGUGAUGUUGAGCGGGAACAAAUGUUGGAGCUACGAGACACUGUUCUCAGAAUAUGGGGUCUUCUGAGAUCCUCUGAUACCUUUGAUCCAAGUCUUUUGCAGCCAAUUGUACAGGUGCUACAAGAGCGUGAAGCCCGUAUGUUUGGUUCUCGUAUUGCUGGAGGUGUCUCGCAGCGCCUUGCAGCCCGCUUGCUGCAGCAGCUGCUCAGGAUCCCACCUGCACCUGUUCCUGGAUCUUCUUAG
rnacentral:rRNA from 1 species